rnacentral:pre_miRNA from 1 species
AUAUGAAUCACCUGGGGAUUUUGUUAAAAUGCAGAUUCUUCAGUGGGUCUGGGGAGGGGGUAACAUUCUGCAAUUCUAACAAGCUCUCAGGUGAUGCCAAU